CCUACGGGAGGCAGCAGUGAGGAAUAUUGGUCAAUGGCCGUAAGGCUGAACCAGCCAAGUCGCGUGAAGGAAGAAGGAUCUAUGGUUUGUAAACUUCUUUUAUAGGGGAAUAAAGGUAUCCACGUGUGGAUCUUUGCAUGUACCCUAUGAAUAAGCAUCGGCUAACUCCGUGCCAGCAGCCGCGGUAAUACGGAGGAUGCGAGCGUUAUCCGGAUUUAUUGGGUUUAAAGGGUGCGUAGGUUGUUUUUUAAGUCAGCGGUGAAAGUUUGUGGCUCAACCAUAAAAUUGCCGUUGAAACUGGAAGACUUGAGUGUGUUUGAGGUAGGCGGAAUGCGUGGUGUAGCGGUGUAAUGCAUAGAUAUCACGCAGAACUCCGAUUGCGAAGGCAGCUUACUAAGCCAUAACUGACACUGAAGCACGAAAGCGUGGGGAUCAAACAGGAUUAGAUACCCUUGUAGUC
rnacentral:rRNA from 1 species